UGAUAUUUAAAUAAUAAAUCACU
rnacentral:snRNA from 1 species